GAGAGAGAGAGAGAGAGAGCAAAGCCUAUCCACCUCAUUAAUGGUGAAAUCUGUAGUGAGUACAAUCCAAAAUAGUUUUUAAGCUUUUAAUCUACUAAAAUAUAUGAUUCUUUGAAGAACUUCCACGGCUUAAUUUGCCGGAGCUCUUUAUCCUGUUACUCCAUGAAAUCUUAGAAGAGACUCGAUUAAUCCCGAGCAUGGCUUCGAGCUCUGGCGAGGCAAAGAAUUCCUUCACAGUCCUAAUCUUGUUGGGGCCGUUACCUUUGACAGCAAGUGAAAGCUUACUCUUUCUCGGGGCAGGAGGACACGUCAUCACAUCAGGUAUCUUAUGCUCCUUGGCUGUAGGGGUCGUACAAUCGAAUGUCGUCGUCUCUGUUUUUAUAUGUUCUUCAAGGAGAUUGAUUCCUUCUCCUUUUCCUCCUUCCAAUUCGUCUAUGACAAGCUGUGCAAGCUUUAUCGACACAGUAGGUUUUUUGUCAUCUUGUCUGCUAAAAAUCAUCAUCUUCUUCCUGAGAAUUGCAGGAAACAAUGAAUUAAGGCGGUGAUGGAGAUUUGAGAAAGAGUAUAAGAACAGGGGUGAAGUAGAAGUAGCGGAAAGGGGGAGGAGACUUGUUUGACUUGACCCAACUAUUUGACUAGAAUUUGAACUUAUAGGCGUUGACCUUGUCAGUACGAGUUUCAAAA
rnacentral:misc_RNA from 1 species